rnacentral:rRNA from 1 species
GACAGAGGGUGCAAACGUUGUUCGGAAUUACUGGGCGUAAAGCGCGUGUAGGCUGCUCUGCAAGUCGGAUGUGAAAGCCCCGGGCUCAACCUGGGAAGUGCACUCGAAACUGCUUGGCUUGAGUACUGGAGAGGGAAGCGGAAUUCUCGGUGUAGAGGUGAAAUGCGUAGAGAUGGGGGAGAACACUCGUGGCGAAGGCGGCCAGCUAGACCAGUUCUGACACUGAGACGCGACAGCGUGGGGAGCAAACAGG